GACGAACGCUGGCGGCGUGCUUAACACAUGCAAGUCGAACGGAAAGGCCCUGCUUUUGUGGGGUGCUCGAGUGGCGAACGGGUGAGUAACACGUGAGUAACCUGCCCUUGACUUUGGGAUAACUUCAGGAAACUGGGGCUAAUACCGGAUAGGAGCUCCUGCUGCAUGGUGGGGGAUGGAAAGUUUCGGCGGUUGGGGAUGGACUCGCGGCUUAUCAGCUGGUUGGUGGGGUAGUGGCUUACCAAGGCUUUGACGGGUAGCCGGCCUGAGAGGGUGACCGGCCACAUUGGGACUGCGGUAGGGCCCAGACUCCUACGGGAGGCAGCGGUGGAGAGUAUUGCACAAUGGGCGGAAGCCUGAUGCAGCAACGCCGGGUGCGUGAUGCCGGCCUUCGAGUUAUAAACCGAUUUCGCCUGUGACGAAGCGUGAGUGACGGUAAUGGGUAAAGAAGCACCGGCUAACUACGUG
rnacentral:rRNA from 1 species